UUCCAAAGGUGGAUGGAGCAAAUUCGGUGAAUCAUCUUCGCUCUAUUUCAUCAGCCAAUUUUUCACUUAAAAUUAUCACUACAAUUUUAGUAGAUUGUCUAAGCCCUACUUCUGCUCAUAUUGUCUCCCCACAAUGUUUUCACAACAGGACGAUCUAUUGUGGAUCCCAUCAUCUCACUUUUGAAUGCAUGAACCUCCUCGAUAGAUGUUGUAAAGGGAAGGAAAUUGUUUAGCGGAUGCUUUUGCUAAUGUUGGCGCAGUGAAUAGUAGUUUUACAUGGUGGGACUUGGUACCUGAUUUUGAUGCGACGUCAUAUAGAAGAGACUGUGUCGAGCUUCCAAUCUUCCAUUCAAGAUCACGAGGAGCAAAUUAUUAAUGAGAAGGUGGUGAUAGGCAAUGAAAUAUGAGCAACAUAACUAUGGAAAAACAAUUUCAGGUGAUUGAACCUGAAGAAUUCUUAAACUAGAACUUAUCGUUUUGUUAAUUGUUUUUAAUGGGUAUUGGCCUGUCCCCCCAACUUAUUUAACUUCUCGUUUUUUUUAUUAAUAAAAUCUAGUAGAUGGAGGACGGGCAGAGGGUUUAUAGGUGCAACGGUCCUUUCUCCUUCGAGAAAGGGUUGGUGUCUCACACAUGAUUAUUGACGAAGAGGUAAUCUCGUCUAAUCCAUCUUUGCAAAUUAUUAAUUAAAAACAAAGUUGCAAGUCCUUCUUAAUUUGUACCAAUAUUUCAUGAUAAUAACAAAUUCGUCAUCCAAACAAAAUUAAGACUUUGUUAAACCAAGGAAGAACCAAGAUUAAAUGUUCAGAAUGUAUUUAACUUUACUUUUUAGAAGCCCAUGGCUUUAAUAGUAUCAGAAUUUGAGUUUCU